AGGAGACUGAAUAAUUUGAUGUGGGUUGUGAGGUUUGGUAUGCAUUAAGGAUCCUUUGUAUGUGUAUGGGUAGAGUCCAAUUUGCGAUGAUGUCAUAGGUACAUAUCCAUUAUUAUUCCGUGUGUAGAAUUUAUUAGAUGAAUCAUCGGCAGUUUUUACAGAACUUUUUCUAGCUCUUCGUCUUGCAUUUCGGCGCCUGAAGUCUCCUUUUGAAAAAUCCGCUAUACAUGCUAAGUGAAUAGACCAAUAGUUGCCUUUGCCGUUAUUGGACCUGCCACUUUUCAGGAAGCACUCGUUUAGAGAAAGAUUAUGUCGUAUACUGUUUCUCCAUCCUUUUUCUUUGUUAUUGUAGAAGGGGAAUUUAUC